CAAAGAAUAGUUUAAAUUAGAACCC
rnacentral:tRNA from 1 species